GCCAUGCAUGUCUAAGUAUAAGCAAUUAUACCGCGAAACUGCGAAUGGCUCAUUAUAUAAGUUAUCGUUUAUUUGAUAGUACCUUACUACUUGGAUAACCGUGGUAAUUCUAGAGCUAAUACAUGCUAAAAAUCCCGACUUCGGAAGGGAUGUAUUUAUUAGAUUAAAAACCAAUGCCCUUCGGGGCUCACUGGUGAUUCAUGAUAACUCCUCGAAUCGCAUGGCCUUGUGCCGGCGAUGGUUCAUUCAAAUUUCUUCCCUAUCAACUUUCGAUGUUUGGGUAUUGGCCAAACAUGGUUGCAACGGGUAACGGAGGGUUAGGGCUCGACCCCGGAGAAGGAGCCUGAGAAACGGCUACUACAUCCAAGGAAGGCAGCAGGCGCGCAAAUUACCCAAUCCCGACACGGGGAGGUAGUGACAAUAAAUACUGAUACAGGGCUCUUUUGGGUCUUGUAAUUGGAAUGAGUACAAUUUAAAUCCCUUAACGAGGAACAAUUGGAGGGCAAGUCUGGUGCCAGCAGCCGCGGUAAUUCCAGCUCCAAUAGCGUAUAUUAAAGUUGUUGUGGUUAAAAAGCUCGUAGUUGAACCUUGGGCCUGGCUGGCCGGUCCGCCUCACCGCGUGUACUGGUCCGGCCGGGCCUUUCCCUCUGUGGAACCCCAUGCCCUUCACUGGGUGUGGCGGGGAAACAGGACUUUUACUGUGAAAAAAUUAGAGUGCUCCAGGCAGGCCUAUGCUCGAAUACAUUAGCAUGGAAUAAUAGAAUAGGACGUGUGGUUCUAUUUUGUUGGUUUCUAGGACCGCC
rnacentral:rRNA from 1 species